CUGGCAUCAUGCUUCGUGUACAGUCUACAGAACUUGACAUCAGUGAAUGGGCUGGUCUGGAUGGCUUCACUCAUAUUUCUGGUGCUUUGACAAGGAUGAUUAGAAGACUGGACUUAGUUGGGGCUGAAUCCUUCUUCUUCAACUUGGUGGACUGAUGGUGGGUAGACUUUUCAUCUUGAGGCUUGGGAAUCUAAAAGCAAAUAAGGCAGAACUGGUAUGCUAUUUUAUAAGUUAGCCUUGAACGUCACAUACUGUUGUUUCCAUUGUAUUCCACUGGUCAAAGCAGUUACAAUCACUCCCAAAUUAAAGGGGAUGUGACACAGAAUUCACAUAUCCAUGGGAUAUAUGUCAAGUUUUUCGUAGGUGUUAUAUUAAAGUGUAUUUCUUCUCCACCCCACCCCAGGAUCUAGUUGAUAUUCAGUGUUGGGGCCUGAUUAUAUGAACUCCAAAUGAAGAAAAAUCUUCCAUUUUUUUCAGAAAUAAGAACUCUAUGAAAAAACAACAUUAAAUUUUUCCUUGUGUACAACAGCUUGCAAAUUGACCCUUUUUAUGCCCAUUUAUUUCAAAAAAGUUACAUCUACUGCCUUCUGCUAUUUAUGACAGCGCUUGGAAACUGAGAAUCCAUUUCCUGAGACCAUGAGUCUGAGAGACUGGCUUCCCUAGAAAAAUAUAUCAACCAGUCCUUCAGAGAAUAUCUGAAAAGUCAGCUAGGAGCUUCCUGAACUAGUUAAGCAUUCUCCUGCUCAUAAAUGUCCAAUAUUAAUAGAGAUUAAUCAAGGACAGCAGACCCUGAGAAAAGACUGUUUCCAGGUGUGCAGAUGGUAUGCUGCCAAAGGCAAUCAAGGGAAUUAAUUAUGAGAAUGAUGAGCAGACUUAGACGGGAUCUGAGAUUGUGUGCACUGAUGGACACAUUGUUGUUAAAUACAAAUGAGGAAGAAAUAGGCUUCUUCUCUGGAA
rnacentral:lncRNA from 1 species